UACGGGGGGGGCAAGCGUUGUUCGGAAUUACUGGGCGUAAAGGGCUCGUAGGUGGCCAACUAAGUCAGACGUGAAAUCCCCAGGCUUAACCUGGGAACUGCGUCCGAUACUGGCAGGCUUGAAUCCGGGAGAGGGAUGUGGAAUUCCAGGUGUAGCGGUGAAAUGCGUAGAUAUCUGGAGGAACACCGGUGGCGAAGGCGGCAUCCUGGACCGGUAUUGACGCUGAGGCGCGAAAGCCAGGGGAGCAAACGGG
rnacentral:rRNA from 1 species